AUUUCUACCAUUUGAAACAUAUGCUAUUUAUUUUUGUUCAGGGAACAUUUUUGGCCAAAAAAUGCAAUUAGAAUCCUUUUUUUGAAUUCCCAUAGUUACUGUAGUGAGAAGUGGCGAAAACAUAAAGUUUAUUGUACUUUUUCACCUAAGAUAUUUCUGUAUUUAUUCAGGCAAAAUCAUAUAAAAUGUCUUACGGCCUAC